AGUUCAUCUUAGCUUGGAAUCUUUUUCCAGACGUCAUACAUCUACGUAAGACAUAAUUGGCGGUCCCCUGUCAGUUCGCACCGGUAGACGAGUUGACCCGGCAGUGAUACCGCCCGGUCUGGAAUGAACCCUGCACGCGCUGAUCUGCUGCAGACAAAACCUCAUUAAAUAAAAACGCUGCUUUUCUCCCGGAGACUGUAAAUCGUCGCUCGCCCUCCCUUCCUCUUAUCCUCGUCUUCGGGUCAUUCCCAGAAGUCUCCGUAAUGCAAUACAACUAUGCCUGCUACAGAACGUUAUCUUUAAUUAAGUCCAGUGUUUUAGCAAUAUUUUAUGACAGACAAACCAUCAAUCCGUCAGCUCUCUGCAGAAUGUUUUAAAGCCCCCCAAAAUAAACUCAGAAAUAAGGAAACCUUGGGGGGACUCGCUCCAGCACUUUAAGGAUAUUUUGUGGGAAUUUCGUCACGGCUGUAAUCCGCCAGGGCUACCCCAAAUUGAAAGACAAUCAGAAAAGCUGAUGUGUUUGGAUAACCAUAGUCCCCAACUGUCGCGGCGAAGCCUGGCUAUGAUUUGAAGAUGGGACCAAAGGGAUGCCAUGAUAGCACAUAUCAAGUUCGCAAUCCUAACAAUUCUUUGGGGUUUUUGGGCUGGUAUAUUAAAAGCUGUAGUUCUGCAACAGAAUUACUUCGUUUAAAAUGUUCCCGACUGUGAAAGAGGAUUUCAUAUUUCUCCUCGUUUGAACACGUUUUUAAUGUAUUAAUUCUCAACUCAGAACUUUGAUCUUUAUGAACUAAAUGUUGGGUUUUAUCUUAGAUAAGACGUUCGCGUAAGAAACGGUACGAGAACUCUAAAAUGGGGAAUGGGGGCCAUAUUUGAGUUCCAGAGAAUAACAAUCAGAGAUGGAGCAGCUAGAGUGAUAAAUCAUUGCUUAAUAAUGAAUGAAUCCUCUCCCUGGACGAUUGCACAAAAUCCUUCGUACAGAAAUGGAGACUGAUAACUAUAUUAAUUUUCGUACCAGGACUUCAAAGAUACCUCUUGAUUUCUGUUGCAAUAUUAAUUCACGAGUGGAUUUAAUCACUACUAGAUACCUCUCUGCAACAGUUAUUUUCUUUUAUUCCCUUUCUCUCUGUCAGAACAUAUGUUAAGGUUCUGUUCACGUCAUUCUUUAUUUUUAUAUUACAAGAAGAAUUGCAAUGCAUUUUCAAUUAAGUUAACAUAAUCACUCUUCAAGCCCCCUUUUCCAAGAAAUAAUAAUAAAUGAAUGUGAAAAUAAAAAGGGGUUUUUUUUUCAUUACAAGUUGCAAGGUCUAUAAAAUUAUAAAUGUCAACGAUCAAAAGAUUUUGAGAUAAAGUUUUCUGUAGAUGACUUUUUGUGACGUACACCUUGUAAUUUGGAGAAUUAUACGGAAUUAAAUAUGUAGGAGAUACGGUAUCUCCGUAGUUUCUAACAUUCUCGGGGGAGCGAUGUUAUCCAAGUAUGUUCAAACACCAAGAUUUCAAACCCGAUACGUACCUUGCGCCAUCUUUUAAGGUGUCCCUAAUGUCGGGGACGCAUUGUUAACCUGAAAUAUUUAUGGCGGCAUGUUUGUUUGGGAUCCCGCUUUAACUGUCUUUGAUUUACCGGGAUAAAGACAUCAUCAAUCAACAACACGAUAAAUAAUGAAGUUCAUCGUCGAUAUUUGUUGAUGAAAGAUUUAGUGUAAAAUGAUUUCAGCCUUCAAUACCUGUUUAUGUUCAU